AUUGAACGCUGGCGGCAUGCCUUACACAUGCAAGUCGAACGGCAGCACGGGUGCUUGCACCUGGUGGCGAGUGGCGAACGGGUGAGUAAUGCAUCGGAACGUACCAUUGAGUGGGGGAUAACGUAGCGAAAGUUACGCUAAUACCGCAUAUUCUCUCCGGAGGAAAGCAGGGGAUCGCAAGACCUUGUGCUCUUUGAGCGGCCGAUGUCGGAUUAGCUAGUUGGUGAGGUAAAGGCUCACCAAGGCUACGAUCCGUAGCGGGUCUGAGAGGAUGAUCCGCCACACUGGGACUGAGACACGGCCCAGACUCCUACGGGAGGCAGCAGUGGGGAAUUUUGGACAAUGGGCGAAAGCCUGAUCCAGCAAUGCCGCGUGCAGGAAGAAGGCCUUCGGGUUGUAAACUGCUUUUGUACGGAGCGAAAAGGUCUCCUCUAAUACAGGGGGCUCAUGACGGUACCGUAAGAAUAAGCACCGGCUAACUACGUGCCAGCAGCCGCAGUAA
rnacentral:rRNA from 1 species